rnacentral:rRNA from 1 species
AAAGGGUCCGUAGGCGGUUUGGUAAGUCAGUGGUGAAAGCCCAUCGCUUAACGAUGGAACGGCCAUUGAUACUGCCAGACUUGAAUUACUAGGAAGUAACUAGAAUAUGUAGUGUAUCGGUGAAAUGCUUAGAUAUUACAUGGAAUACCAAUUGCGAAGGCAGGUUACUACUAGUGGAUUGACGCUGAUGGACGAAAGCGUGGGGAGCGAACAGGAUUAGAUACCCGGGU